GAUGAAGAACGUAGUGAAACGUGAUAUGUAAUGUGAAUUGCAGAAUUCAGUGAAUCAUCGAAUCUUUGAACGCACAUGGCGCCUUCCAGUAUCCUGGGAGGCAUGCCUGUCCGAGCGUCGUUUCAACCCUCGAGCCCCCGUGGCCCGGCGUUGGGGAUCUGCCCAGGCAGUCCCCGAAAACCAGUGGCGGACCCGUUACAGGCCCUUCCCUUGCGUAGUAGCAUUCGCCUCGCAUCGGGAGCCGGCGGGCUUCCAGCCUCUAAACCCCCAUCAAGUCCGCCCCGGCGGCACCAAGGUUGACCUCGGAUCAGGUAGGAAUACCCGCUGAACUUAAGCAUAUCAAUAAGCGGAGGA
rnacentral:misc_RNA from 1 species